UAUACACUAGUGUAAGAUGCACGUCAAGGUUUGAAUUUGAAAGUUGAAGUUUGAUUCUUUGUUGUAUAA
rnacentral:tRNA from 1 species